AGGACGAACGCUAGCGGCGUGUUUGAAACAUGCAAGUCGAACGGAGCAGUCAGCAAUGGCUGUCGAGUGGCGAACGGGUGCGUAACACGUAAAGAACCUACCCUUUAGCGGGGGAUAGCCCUGGGAAACCGGGGGUAAUACCGCAUGAGCCUCUUUUGUCGCAUGAGAGAAGAGGGAAAGGCUGAUGAGUCAAAAGCUUAACAGUCACUGAAGGAAGGCUUUGCGGCCUAUCAGGUAGUUGGUGGGUGAAGGCCUACCAAGCCAAAGACGGGUAGCUGGU
rnacentral:rRNA from 1 species